rnacentral:rRNA from 1 species
GAUGAACGCUGGCGGCGUGCCUAAUACAUGCAAGUCGAGCGAACAGACGAGGAGCUUGCUCCUUUGACGUUAGCGGCGGACGGGUGAGUAACACGUGGAUAACCUACCUAUAAGACUGGGAUAACUUCGGGAAACCGGAGCUAAUACCGGAUAACAUGUUGAACCGCAUGGUUCAACAGUGAAAGACGGUCUUGCUGUCACUUAUAGAUGGAUCCGCGCCGCAUUAGCUAGUUGGUAAGGUAACGGCUUACCAAGGCAACGAUGCGUAGCCGACCUGAGAGGGUGAUCGGCCGCACGGGAACUGAGACACGGUCCAGACUCCUACGGGAGGCAGCAGUAGGGAAUCUUCCGCAAUGGGCGAAAGCCUGACGGAGCAACGCCGCGUGAGUGAAGAAGGUCUUCGGAUCGUAAAACUCUGUUAUUAGGGAAGAACAAAUGUGUAAGUAACUAUGCACGUCUUGACGGUACCUAAUCAGAAAGCCACGGCUAACUACGUG